UACGAGGGGUCCAAGCGUUGCUCGGAAUCAUUGGGCGUAAAGCGGGUGUAGGUGGCUUUGUAAGUCCGUGGUGAAAUCUCUGAGCUUAACUCAGAAACUGCCGUGGAUACUAUUUGCCUUGAAUAUUGUGGAGGUGAGCGGAAUAUGUCAUGUAGCGGUGAAAUGCUUAGAUAUGACAUAGAACACCAAUUGCGAAGGCAGCUGACGAAACUGUAACUGACGCUGAGGCACGAAAGCGUGGGGAUCAAACAGG
rnacentral:rRNA from 1 species